rnacentral:rRNA from 1 species
GAACCUGCCCAGUGAAUAAUUUUAACGGCCGCGGUACCCUGACUGUGCAAAGGUAGCAUAAUCAUUUGCCUUAUAAUUGAAGGCUGGCAUGAAUGGUCUAACGAGAGCAACACUGUCUCCUCUUUAUUAUCUAAAAAUUAACCUAUAGGUGAAGAGGCCUAUAUAAAAUUGAAGGACAAGAAGACCCUGUCGAGCUUAAAAGAAAGUAAGAAUUAGUUAUCAAAAGAAAUCAAUAAACUAUAUAUAUAGCUUUUUAGUUGGGGCGACUAGGGAACAAAUAAAGCUUCUUUUAUUUCUAUAAAUUUAUAAAUUUAGAUCCAGCAAAGCUGAUUAGAAAAAUUAGUUACCGCAGGGAUAACAGCAUAAUCUCUCUUAAGAGACCUAAUCGAAAGGGGGGGUUGUGACCUCGAUGUUGGACUAGAAUAUCCUGAGGAUGCAGACGUCUUUAAGGGUUG